AUGGGGGGGCGUCUGGGGGGUCAGCCUGUUGAGCACUGGCUCUUGAUAUCAGCUCAGGUCAUGAUUUCAAACUUGGUGGUAUCGAGCCCCGCGUCCAGUCGGGCUCUGCACUGUCCAGAGCCUGCUUGGGAUUCUCUCUCUCUCUCUCUCUCUCUCUCUCUCUCUCUCUCUCUCUCUCUCUCUCUCUCUCUCUCUCUCUCUGCCCCUCCCCUGUCCUGCUCUCUCUCUGCCCCUCCCCCUGCUCCUGCACUCUCUAUCUGCCCCUCCCCCUGCUUCCUGCUCUCUCCUCUCUCUCUGCCCCUCCCCUGCUCCUGCUCUCUCUCUCUCUGCCCCUCCCCUGCUCCUGCUCUCCCUUCUCUCUGCCCCUCCCCUCUCCUGCUCUCCUCUCUCUCUCUCUCUCUCUGCCCCUCCCCUGCUCCUGCUCUCUCUCUGCCCCUCCCCCUGCUCCUGCACUCUCUAUCUGCCCCUCCCGUGCUCCUGCUCUCUCUCUCUCUCUCUCUCUGCCCCUCCCCUCCUCCUGCUCUCCCUCUCUCUCUGCCCCUCCCCUGCUCCUGCGCUCCCUCUCUCUGCUGCCCCUCCCCUCCUCCUGCUCUCCUCUCUCUGCCCCUCCCCCUGCUUCCUGCUCUCUCUCUCUGCCCCUCCCCUGCUCCUGCUCCUCCCUCUCUCUGCCCCUCCCCUCUCCUGCUCUCUCUCUCUGGCCCCUCCCCUGCCUCCUGCUCUCUCUCUCUGCCCCUCCCCUGCUCCUGCUCUCCUCUGCCCCUCCCCUCCUCCUGCUCUCCCUCUCUCUCUCUCUGCCCCUCCCCUCCUCCUGCUCUCCUCUCUCUCUCUCUCUCUCUGCCCCUCCCCUGCUCCUGCUCCUCUCUCUCUCUCUUCUCUCUCUGCCCCUCCCCUGCUCCUUCUCUCCCUCUCUCUGCCCCUUCCCCUGCUCCUGCUCUCCCUCUCUCCUGCCCCUCCCCUCUCUCUCUCUUCCCCUCCCCUGCUCUGCUCUCCCUCUCUCUCUCUCUGCCACUCCCCUGCUCCUGCUCUCCCUCUCUCUCUGCCCCUCCCCUGCUCCUGCUCGCUCUCUCUCUGCCCCUCCCCGCUCCUGCUCUCCCCUCUCCUGCCCCCUCCCCUGCUCCUCUCUCUCUCUCUCUGCCCCUCCCCUGCUCCUGCUCUCCCUCUCUCUCUCUCUCUCUGCCCCUCCCCUGCUCCUUCUCUCUCUGCCCCUCCCCUGCUCCUGCUCUCCCUCUCUCUGCCCCUCCCCUGCUCCUGCUCUCUCUGCCCCUCCCCUGCUCCUGCUCUCCCUCUCUCUGCCCCUCCCCUGCCUCCUGCUCUCCCUCUCUCUCCCCCUCCCCCGUCCUCCUGCUCUCCCUCUCUCUCUGCCCCUCCCCUCCUCCUGCUCUCUCUCUGCCCCUCCCCUGCUCCUGCUCUCUCUCUCUCAAAAUAAAUAGUUUUUUUUAA
rnacentral:lncRNA from 1 species